UGGGGAAUCUUGCGCAAUGGGCGAAAGCCUGACGCAGCGACGCCGCGUGCGGGAUGACGGCCUUGGUUGUAACCGCUUUCUAGCAGGGACGAGGCCGCAAGGUGACGGUACCUGCAGAAGAAGCCCCGGCUAACUACGUGCC
rnacentral:rRNA from 1 species